AUUAAAGAGGAGUAUGAGGAGACGCUGGCUUGGCUUCAGGCUGAGUAUAAUGCAGAGCAGGAGUCCAAGGCCAAGCUUCAGGAGGACAUUGCUGUCCUGCGCUCUUCAUAUGAGACCAAGCUGUCCAAUCUGGAAAAGUCCCAGACCAGCAGAGGGCACUCUAUUACCACUGCUGGCUACAGCACACCGACAGAGGAAUACCCUGGCAGAUCAGAGGAAGAAGCAGUUGAUUGGCCCUGGCAGAGAAUGGUGA
rnacentral:lncRNA from 1 species